CCUACGAGAGGCAGCAGUGAGGAAUAUUGGUCAAUGGCCGCAAGGCUGAACCAGCCAAGUCGCGUGAAGGAAGACGGUGCUAUGGAUUGUAAACCUCUUUUGUCAAGGGGCCAAAGACGCCACGCGUGGCGUUCCGAGGGUACCCGAAGAAAAAGCAUCGGCUAACUCCGUGCCAGCAGCCGCGGUAAUACGGAGGGUGCAAGCGUUACUCGGAAUUACUGGGCGUAAAGAGUGCGCAGGCGGGCUUGUAAGGCAGAUGUGAAAUCCUGUAGCUUAACUACAGAACUGCAUUUGAAACUAUGAGUCUAGAGUGUGGGAGAGGUAGGUGGAAUUCUUGGUGUAGGGGUAAAAUCCGUAGAUAUCAAGAGGAAUACUCAUUGCGAAGGCGACCUACUGGAACAUUACUGACGCUCAUGCACGAAAGCGUGGGGAGCAAACAGGAUUAGAUACCCCGGUAGUC
rnacentral:rRNA from 1 species